ACUAUUAACAACAGAAAGAAAUAGUUUAUAAGUUAAAACCGCACCUCAGUGUGUCAAAAAUCUAAACGCGAAUUCGCCUACUAACAACACAGUGGUAAGCCCGGCCCAUCCGUAAGCGAACCACUAUAAUAUCACAGUUUAGGCGCGAACUAACCCUAAACCAAAACAAAAUAAAUCCGUAAUUAAUAAAAUAGUGAAAGUGUGAAAGUGAAAACAUUGUGUGAUUAAUUAAGUAGUUCACCUGUCCUUAAUCCUUAUCAUGACCCCUCCAAUUAUACAACCCGCACGCCUCAACAUCGUGCAAAAUCCACUUCAAGCUCAAAUUCCCGUUCCAGAUCCAAUCCCAAUUCCAGUACCAAUCCCUGUUCAAAUUCCAGCUCCAAACCCAGCUCCAAUCCCAAAUCCCGCACCUCGAUUCGUUAUUGAUCGAAACAUUAGUUUCGAGGAUCGCGGAAAAAUUCCGCAAAUUGUUCGAGACCUCCCCGACUUUACCGGUAAUCCACGCGAUUUAAGUCAGUGGAUUUUGGAUGUCGAAGAUGUCCUUGAACUUUUUGAGGACCU